CGCGGCCGCCCCUGCGCCGGGGCCGGGCGGGGAGGCGGGGAAGGGGCCUGCCCCGGGCCGUCACUCACGUUGCGGCGGAAGGAGAAGCCGGGCAGCAGCGGCAGCGCCAUGGCCGCCCCGACCCGCUAGGGCGCCGUUGCCUGGAUACGGCCCGUGACGUCACGUCCACCGGGACGGUGAAACUGGGUCAGUGGGUUUCCACCUUCUGGUUUCCCAGUGCUGCGUUGAGCAUCUGCAUUUGCAUUUAGUGCAGAAAGGGACAGUUCAUAGAGAAGAUGACAAGAUCAAAUCAGACUGAACUGAGUGAUCCAGCGUGGUCUCGGCAUCAAAUUUUAAGCUGCCUGUGUUCAAGAAGAAAAGCUGCCUAUUAAAGAAAUGAGAAAUAAAGUGGUCCUGAUAGUCAAGUCAUGGCUGCUGGUUUGGGCAAAAUCGUAUUGCCUAAUUCAUGUGACUUUUUGGAAAGGUGAAGUCAUCCCCCUUGGAGGUCUUGCCUUCUCUGUGCAACUCUCAUGUCUCGCAGGCAGGGAAGGCUCAGCAACUACCAGAGCUCUGCCCUUCCACUCCCACCAGGAUGCUCUGCAGAGUCUGCAUGAGGCUGUGUACAGGAGGAAGGAAUGGAAAGCAGUGAACUGGAGAAAUAUGAACUGGCGAGGGAAAAGCAGAUACACACAUUUCUUCUCAGACAAAGAGUGUAGAGCGUGAUAAACCCGGUCUCUAAAUAGCAGCAGGAAAUAAUGCGGUAAAAAAAUCGCGUCCAUUACAUUCUUCUUCUUUCCCCUAACUAAGAGACUCAGACAGAUGAGGGUCUUUCUUGAGCAGAUAGCAGAAUAAUUUAAAUAAAAACAGGGUUGAUUGGUU